GGGCUGUCCGGUUUCUGAGCGGUCUGACCAUUAUGCGAUCAUUAACAUUAUCUCAAUUUUAAGAAAAUAAUAAUAAAAAUGGCCAAAAUAUUGAUAAAGAUUGAAGAAAAAUAGGAGAAAUAAAUGAGAAAGGAGGUGAGAAGGCGUCACGUGCACAUGAUCCAACCGGUGAACAGAGACAUGUCACGCAAAGUCAGCCAUUUUUCAGAGCCCAAAACCAAAAACCCAUUCAAAUAUUCAUGAGCUUUAGGACGAUCUUACCCUCUCGUUAUCCCAUUUUAUUACUAUCACAUGCCCCUUGUUUUCUCAC